rnacentral:rRNA from 1 species
GACGAACGCUGGCGGCGUGCCUAGUACAUGCAAGUCGAGCGCAGUAAACUGACGGAACUCUUCGGAGGGAAGGCAGUGGAAUGAGCGGCGGACGGGUGAGUAACACGUAAGGAACCUGCCUCAAGGAUUGGGAUAACUCCGAGAAAUCGGAGCUAAUACCGGAUAGUUCAUCGGACCGCAUGGUCCGUUGAUGAAAGGCGCUUCGGCGUCACCUUGAGAUGGCCUUGCGGUGCAUUAGCUAGUUGGUGGGGUAACGGCCCACCAAGGCGACGAUGCAUAGGCGACCUGAGAGGGUGAUCGGCCACACUGGGACUGAGACACGGCCCAGACUCCUACGGGAGGCAGCAGUAGGGAAUCUUCCACAAUGGACGAAAGUCUGAUGGAGCAACGCCGCGUGAGUGAUGAAGGUUUUCGGAUCGUAAAACUCUGUUGUAAGGGAAGAACACGUACGAGAGGGAAUGCUCGUACCUUGACGGUACCUUACGAGAAAGCCACGGCUAACUACGUGCCAGCAGCCGCCGUAACAC